rnacentral:rRNA from 1 species
GACGAACGCUGGCGGCGUGCUUAACACAUGCAAGUCGAACGGAAAGGCCCUGCUUUUGUGGGGUGCUCGAGUGGCGAACGGGUGAGUAACACGUGAGUAACCUGCCCUUGACUUUGGGAUAACUUCAGGAAACUGGGGCUAAUAUCGGAUAGGAGCUCCUGCUGCAUGGUGGGGGUUGGAAAGUUUCGGCGGUUGGGGAUGGACUCGCGGCUUAUCAGCUUGUUGGUGGGGUAGUGGCUUACUAAGGCUUUGACGGGUAGCCGGCCUGAGAGGGUGACCGGCCACAUUGGGACUGAGAUACGGCCCAGACUCCUACGGGAGGCAGCAGUGGGAAAUAUUGCACGAUGGGCGGAAGCCUGAUGCAGCAACGCCGCGUGCGGGAUGACGGCCUUCGGGUUGUAAACCGCUUUCGCCUGUAACGAAGCGUGAGUGACGGUAAUGGGUAAAGAAGCACCGGCUAACUACGUG